rnacentral:sRNA from 1 species
CAUCGAUCUACGCCGUGUCCCGCCGCGGAAACCCGACGGAGAUGAAUACCAAAUUCAGAUUCAGUCGAUGAUCGAGUAAGUCAUUGCACCACCGGCGUAACAUUAUCUGGAGUCUGCGCAUUGGUUCAGCUAGCUUGAGCUCUGGAUUCCAAACUGGAACAAGAGCUUUAACUCCAGAGUAUGAACAAGUCCAUUGGUCUUCUACAAGAGAGAGUUUGAACUUUGAAUAAUGAGGAGAAACAACAAGGGGUUAAAUUCUGCUGCCACUUUCUUCCUCUUUUAGGUUUCAGGAUUGUUUGAUACAUUUCUAUAUACUGUUGUGAAAGAAGCUACAUGGUUCUCACUGCGUUGAAAGGUGGAGAAGAAUAUUACAAACAGCUGCAUGAUUCUUGGUGCUCCUUGGAGGCUGAUGAGUGCUAGGCCAUGAGGAUGCAUCAGAAGUCAUUGAGUCAUCGCUUUCAUUGUUACUACUAUCAUCAUCAUCGUCAUCAUCAUCAUCUUCAUCA